GUGCUGAACUUCCCAGGCAUGGAGUAAAAUCACACAAAAAAGUCGGGGUCACUGUAGUAUCCAGGCCAAUUAAUAUAAGUUAAUAUUAUACUGUACACUAAUGUUUACUAACUUCCGCUUUGUAAUUUUAUAAUGUAUUCAUUCUCAUAAUAUACAAGUUAUACAACACACCAAACCAGGCGGCUAUACUCUUGUGUUUAUCCGAUAUUUACCGCGAUACACUACAUUCUGGCGACGAGAAUAAUAAACCUACACGUAAUCAAAUC